GCAGCAAAAGGCCAGACGGCACGACCUUCAGUGUGUAUGGAAAAUGUAACGCCUACUUCGAAUGCUACUACGGCACCGCUCUGUACCGCGAAUGUAACGAUUAUUACAGAUUUGAGAAGGGUCAAUGCAAGCCAGACCCCAACUGUUAUAAUAACAAACCAUAUGGCUCAUAUAGUAACUCUUAUGGUAAAUCUGACAACACCUAUGGUCAACCUGAAAACUCCUACGGUCAAUCUGGCAACACCUAUGGUCAACCUGACAAGUCCUAUGGUCAAGCUGACAAGUCCUACGGUCAAUAUGGAAACUUCUAUGGCUAUUAACAUCCUUUUAAAAGCCCAUUUUGUCGGCCGGGAGAACAGCUCACUAAGUAUCGUUUCUUCAGCGAUACAAUUCAAAUUUUAAUAAUCGAUUUUAGUUAUACCUUUUUAAAGAGACAUUUGUUUCAUCUUUAUGUUUGAAAUAAAUCUUCCUUAGC